rnacentral:lncRNA from 1 species
GCUUCUAAAGGCCACCUGCAUUCCAUGGCUCAUGGCCCCAUCCUCCGUCUUCAGAGCCAGCAAUGUCAAGUCAAGUCCUUCUCACACCACUACCUCUCUGGUUCCCUGGAGCCAGGGGAGGUUUUCCUUGUCAUUAGAUUGGACCUACCUGGAAAGUCACCUCAUCUCAGGGUCCUUAAGCUUAAUCUCAUCUUCAGAAUUCCUUUUGCCAUGAAAGGUAAAAUACUCACAGGUUCUGAGGAUUAGGACAUGGACAGAUUUGAGGACCAUUGUUCUGCCCACCACAGAUCCUAAGUGAUAAAGUCCUCUGCAUUACGGACAAGGACUGUGGCUUUAUCAGUCCUCUCUGAGAGGGUUCUGCCCUGGGAGCCAGUUUCUAGGAGAACCAUCCAUGCUUGUAACUAACAUGUAUUGAACGCUUGCUGAAGCAUUUGUUCAUAUCCAACACACUCUGACUUCAAAGACAGUGUUUGCCCUGUAGACCUUGAUAAGUUUUACUUGUUGAUUUUAGCCACCAUUUUUCGGGAGGCAGCACGCUUAAAAAAAUCGAACAUCUUUUCUAAAAUAUCAGAACAGAGCAAACCAUGUUUGGUAGGCAUCAGGGACGUGGAAACGCAGGAAGGAAUGAGCACUACAACGAAUGACUAAAGCUGUAUUUUAAAUUUAUUUUUGUCAAUGAGUUAGAUUUGGACAAAAUCAGCUAACCAAAGUGACUGAUGGGAAUGGUUAGAACUAAAAGUUCUGAGUGUAAUUUCAUCCUGUUGUUCCUUUCCCUGUAUUUUCUUAAAAUUUUUAAGUGCACAAUGGAAUGAGUUUUAGUAUAUUUGCAGAGUUGUACAGCCAUCACCACACUCUGAAUUUAAAACAUUCCCAUCCCCUCAAAGGAUGAUGGAAACAUCACCCCCCAGUCCUGGACAACCACAAAUCUACUUUCUGUUUCUGUAUAUUUGUCUUUUCUGGGCAUUUUACUUGCAAUCCUUUAGACCAAGCCAAUCGUGUUUGAUGGAGAGUUAUUGUUGCCAUUUUAUUUCUAAUCGGUUAAUCAAGGAAAGAUGGAAAGUUAGCAUGGGGCCACAGGAACUGGUGACUUCCCCAUUCUUGUGGACUAUCAGGUCACUGGGCAUUUAAAGUUCACGCUGUCUUACCUUAGUGUGUGAUCCCUUAAAAAUUACUUCUCGUCGUGUAGCUGAAACAAAUUGACAGAUGGCUUGGCCCUGGCUCGGAUAGGCUGUGUGUAGGAUCAGGUAUGCUUUACGUAAGUAGGAGCCUUCACGAAGAGGCUUUUCAGGUGAUGCCGUGAAACAUUUCACUCAAUCCUGAUCUCCAGCUCGGGCUCAGUGCACAUCAAAGGACACGGGAGGUUGCGUAACUGCUUGGAGGAGUGGCGAUCGGUUCUUUCCUAUGUCCACAGUUGUGUCCUUAAGUGGUCUGGAACUGAGACCUAAGCAUUGGUACUGGAAAAGUAAAUGACAGCAUUAGCUAGUAUUUGGUCUUUUUAGGAGGGUGAGACAUUUCUUUCAUUGAUCUAUCUUGUCUGUUGGCUGUAUUAACUCUGCUGAAUAUAGUUAGGUUUCACUUAUUUGUAGGUGGUGUUUGCUAGAACACAACCACACACCCAUAAGGAGAAGAAGAGUUUUAGGCGUGGUUAUUUUACUUAUUUACUGGCUUUAUAC